AUUGAACGCUGGCGGCAUGCCUUACACAUGCAAGUCGAACGGUAACAGGUCUUCGGAUGCUGACGAGUGGCGAACGGGUGAGUAAUACAUCGGGACGUGCCUAGUAGUGGGGGAUAACUACUCGAAAGAGUGGCUAAUACCGCAUGAGAUCUACGGAUGAAAGCAGGGGAUCGCAAGACCUUGUGCUACUAGAGCGGCCGAUGGCAGAUUAGGUAGUUGGUGGGAUAAAAGCUUACCAAGCCGACGAUCUGUAGCCGGUCUGAGCGGACGAUCAGCCACACUGGGACUGAGACACGGCCAAGACUCCUACGGGAGGCAGCAGUGGGGAAUUUUGGACAAUGGGCGAAAGCCUGAUCCAGCAAUGCCGCGUGCAGGAUGAAGGCCUUCGGGUUGUAAACUGCUUUUGUACGGAACGAAAAGCCCCGGGUUAAUACCCUGGGGUCAUGACGGUACCGUAAGAAUAAGCACCGGCUAACUACGUGCCAGCCGCCGCCGUAA
rnacentral:rRNA from 1 species